rnacentral:tRNA from 1 species
CGGGAUGUAGCACAGUUUGGUAGCGCGCAUCGUUCGGGACGAUGAGGUCGCAGGUUCAAAUCCUGUCAUCCCGA